UACGAAGGGUGCAAGCGUUACUCGGAAUUACUGGGCGUAAAGCGUGCGUAGGUGGUGAGUUAAGUCUGUCGUGAAAUCCCCGGGCUCAACCUGGGAAUUGCGAUGGAGACUGCAAGGCUAGAAUCUGGCAGAGGGGGGUGGAAUUCCGCGUGUAGCAGUGAAAUGCGUAGAGAUGCGGAGGAACACCGAUGGCGAAGGCAGCCCCCUGGGCUAAGACUGACGCUGAGGCACGAAAGCGUGGGGAGCAAACAGG
rnacentral:rRNA from 1 species